rnacentral:sRNA from 1 species
ACUCAACGUUAAUUCUUUAAAAAGGGUGAGUUUAAACUGUAAAAGCGAGCUGUCUAGAACAGAUACUUGAUCAGUUUGUUAGCCCUAAACUUGUUUUUAAGGAGUUU